rnacentral:lncRNA from 1 species
GAAUACUACUCAGCCAUAAAAAAGGAUGACAUAAUGCUAUUUGCAGCAACAUGGAUGGAACUAGAGAAUCUCAUACGGAGUGAAAUGAGCCAGAAAGACAAAGACAAAUACCAUAUGAUAUCACUUAUAACUGGAAUCUAAUAUCCAGCACAAAUGAACAUCUCCUCAGAAAAGAAAAUCAUGGACUUGGAGAAGAGACUUGUGGUUGCCUGAUGGGAGGGGGAGGGAGGAGUGGGAGGGAUCGGGAGCUUGGGCUUAUCAGACACAACCUAGAAUAGAUUUACAAGGAGAUCCUGCUGAAUAGCAUUGAGAACUAUGUCUAGAUACUCAUGUUGCAACAGAAGAAAGGGUAGGGGAAAAAACUAAUUGCAAUGUAUACAUGUAAGGAUAACCUGACCCCCUUGCUGUACAGUGGGAAAAAUAAAUAAAUAAAUAAAUAAAAGUGUUGGCUACAAGGACUUGUGAAAGUACUUUUGUGGCUCAUGUGACAUUUCUAUUGGAUAGUUUGGUCUAGGUACUCCCAAGGUCACUGCACGGUCCUCAUGCUCGAUCCAGGAGACAAAGAGCCUUCUGAUAAAAACUGCUUAUUAGCUUCUCGAAUACAAAAUAUAUACUCUCUGUAGAGUUGUUCCCCCUCAUUAUCACUUUUGUAGCAUUUUGUAGCUGCAAAGGAUUCCACCAUCUUUUCAUCAAUUACUCCUCAGGACAUAGUCUGUGAGGCAAGUCACUGCUAAAUUAUGAGACUCGUUAAAGAGAUCGUUAUCAUUCAAAGAGCUGUGGAGGCCUCCACAGACGCACACCCUCACACUGUGGUAAAAUGGGAUUGCAAAGGAAUGGCAAGAAUUACAAAGCAGAGGCUGGAGCAAAGUGGAGGCUGACUCAGAGUAACUUAGGCUUGCUAGUCAAGUCCUCCCCUAAGAAAAGCUAACUGAGUGGUUCCUCUGCUCCAUGUAGCAUCACCUCUCCCCACUGCCUGUGUUUUCUUAGAGGCAAAUUGAGAGACUCAAGGAACCCUUCCAAUAUUUUAAACUCAGUUGUCAGGAAAUGAGAGCUCUUUCAGCAUCAGGCCACUCUCUCUCCUCUUGCUUAACAAAAGACAGUGAAAGGCAGUUCCUCAGAUGUCGGUUUGUUGUGAGCCACACGGGAAGUCCAGCCUCAGAUGUCUAUUUGUCCUCACUCUGACUUAAAAAUCAGCUCAGGAAAUUAUCUGUCAAUCCAGUAUAUUACAGAGAGAAACAGUCAUGGAAUCACCCUAGUUGAGAUGUUUCAAAUGACAAUUUCAUACUGCACCUCUUCAAUUAUUCAAGACAACACAAACCUGCUCUCAUCUUUAAAAAGAUUUUAGGAUUAAGGAAGCUUGGCACUCUGUGUUUCAAAUAUUUAGUCUUACUUGAAGAACCCAACUCUUCCAGGAGACUCAGAAAGUGUUCUAUUAACAGAAAGAAGCCCCUUGAUGUGAGGAAUGGUUCAGGCGGUAAAGACAGAUGAUUACUUAUAUGUUAUGUGUAUGGUCACUCUUUCAUUUCAGGGUUUUGUUUUGAUGGGGUGCAGAAAGUUCCCAUUCAGCUAAAUUCAAAUAAAUAGGGAGCACCUGCUGAAGUUAGGCACAAUGCCAGGCACUAAGGGUGCAGAAUACAAAGACACAGUCCUAGGUCUAGCUUGGACUAAAAUAGAAAUAAAUGAAUAUUCCCUCUACAUAUCUAUCAUUAUUACUUUAUUGAUUUCAUGCAUACAGCUCAUUGUUUUGCUAUUUCCUUGCUUGCAAGGCACCAUUCCAGGUGUGAGGUCUUUGGUACAUUUUUACAGUAUAAAAGGCAUAUUUAAAUUUAAUUUUAGUAUGAGAGAGAGGGAUAUUUUACACACAAUAGUGAAAAGUCUUUUGAAUCUACAUGUAGUAAUCAAACAAAAAAUGCCUUUUUGAAUGAAUGAAUGCCUCUUUGAAAGUGAAACUGUUUUGUUUAUAAUGCAAUAUGAAUGCAUAUUUCAGGCUGUUUAAGCAGGGUUUUCCCUACACUGGGACAAAGGAUUUAUUUAUUUUUUUCUUGAAAGAGACUUGAGGAUACUCAUCCAUUUCAUUAGACACCGACAAUUUUUUAUUUAGAUUUUUUACAUGCCAGACUGUAGCUAGUCAGAUUUGUAUGAACAUAAAUAUCAGGCUAUGAAAGUAAGUCUAUCAAAGGUUCAGAGUAAGGUACUAUUACUUAAAGGCUAGGAACAAACUUUAUAAACACUUGAAAUUUCACCUCAGUCCUUGGUUAAAGCCUCUGCUUUUUCUCUGGAUUCAAGAAAGACUUUUUUUUUUUUCAUUUAAAAAAAUAUCCCCAAAUAGCACUAUUUAUCUAGUUGUCUACUUCUCUAAGGAGAGAUCUUCACCCUGCUGCACAUUCCACACCAGACCCCAUAGUAAGGCUUACCUGUCUUUAGUUUCCAGCUGAUAUUAUUAAAGCUAAUACUACACUAGUCAUGGGGAUUCUGCCCCAAUGUACAUGGGUAUUUCUGUGUGUUUGGGAGAGACUUUCUCAGGCCCACUUUUUGCAUCAUCUGGCAUUCAGUUUUCCUGCUUUUCCAGCUAGGCUGUUUCCUCUCUCCUGUCACCCAUAAGAAGGAUGUGGCUCCCUGUUUUGAGUACAUAAAUGGCUUAGAUUUUCACCCUUCCCUGUCCUCUGUCCAAUCAUGUUGCAGUGCCUUCCUUCCAUGGAUGGAGUACA